CUUCGCAAAAGUAAGCAAGCAGGCUGGCGGACUGGCAGGCCAGCAGCUAUAACAACGACGUCUAUAAGAAAGGAAGAAAAUUGAUUGCGCGCACACGUUGUUGGCGGCAAGCAAGCAAGCCAGCAACGAAACGAAAAACAAAAAUAUACCCUUACAAGUUGAGGUAUCACACCCCACCAUACCGCCCCAACACCCUAACUCAAACCACCAGCAUUUCCAAAGCCAGCCAGAGCAACAAAACCAAAAGACAUAGUAGUGACGCAGUCACAGGCAUUGGGAGUAGGGAUCUUCAUUGUUACUCCUCUCCAGCUCCAUACAUUGUUGGCCGUAAGGGGGCAGAUAUGGUGGCCAAGCGGCAGGUACAGGCUCUUUUACAUUUACGAUACUAGGGCUGGCUGCAAUAUUUUGAAAAUAAAAGAAAUUUGUUGGAAAAUAAAAUAAAUUGCACAAUGAAGAAAAAUCAAUGUCGUAUGAGAGGCAGCAGCAAAAACAAUAAAAACAGCUAUGAGACCCUUACAUCCAGUAGAAGAUGGUGAGAGCCAACAGUAGGACAUCCUAUUCCAAUCUACUUGAGUUUGAAUGGCAGCGAGGGACGUUUCACUUUUACGAAUAAUUUUAUCCUUAGCUGACUUAAGCUAUUGUACAAUAAAUGCAAACCAAGGGUGAUGUGUUAAAUUUCCUAUAUCAAAACAAUUUUUAAUUUCAAAUUUACAACUCCUGAAGCAGAAGGUACUUAAUAAAAAAGGAGAUUUCUCUGCAGGAUUUAUAUGGAAAUAUUUUUUGAGCUCAGGCGUAGUUGGCGAACAUACCGAACUCUGUCCACAUUUUUACAAAUAUUGCAAUAUUAUUAUUUUUGAAGCGAUGUUCAUGAAAUUGUUACCUACACCCAAAAAAUGAAGUGAUUGAAAUUUCUUUGCUACAAAA